UUUUUUCAUUCUCGCUUUUACUUCAGUCUCUUUCGCUUUUACUUCAGUCUCAAAUACAAAUCGAUUCGUACAAUGUAAAUGUUUUAAUCGAUUCAAUGAUUAAUUACAGAGAUCGAUUUUUCAACUUGUACAAGGAUUAGAAAUUAGGUUUUUAUCGAUUCAGCGAUUAAUUAGGUUUUUUUUUCAUCGAUUGAAUACAGAGAUCAAUAUAUAUCAGCGAUCGAUUUUUUCAUUGAUUCGAGGUGGAGAACUGAAUUCUGAUUUAGACUGCUAACAUUGUGGUUCAUUCUGAUUUAAGACUGCUAACUUGUGCUUCUGAUCAGGAUUACCAUCAGAUAGUUCAUCAUUCUGCUCUAACUGCGAGGCUGAAAUCAUUUGAAAACCUAACAGAAUAAGAAGGAGAAAAAUGAGGGGCUUCAUGGUGUUUCCGGAUUAAGUGAAUGAGCGCGGAUUUACAAUUUGAAAGAAAUAAUGUCAUCAGGUGAAGGAUUUUUCUUAGCUGUUAUUUGUUGCUGAUUCGUUCUCUCUUUCGCUAUUCGUUGCCAAUCCAUUCUCCCUUUCGCUAUUCGUUGUCGAUUUGUUCUCUGUAUCUUCUUCUAAAGGAUAUUAUUGGAAGGAUACAUAGAGAUUCGGAGAAGCUAUGGAUCAAAAGCUACAAGAUAUGAAGCACGUUCAAUUUUGAAAAUUUUUAGACAAGAAAUUACUCUAUUGAUUCUACUUUAACUUGUAUAUUACAACUAAGGAUACGAAUUAAGUAGACAUUAUAUUGAAAAUAUA